rnacentral:rRNA from 1 species
CCUACGGGUGGCAGCAGUCGAGAAUCAUUCACAAUGGGGGAAACCCUGAUGGUGCGACGCCGCGUGGGGGAAUGAAGGUCUUCGGAUUGUAAACCCUUGUCAUGUGGGAGCAAAUUAAAAAGAUAGUACCACAAGAGGAAGAGACUGCUAACUCUGUGCCAGCAGCCGCGGUAAUACAGAGGUCUCAAGCGUUGUCCGGAAUUACUGGGCGUAAAGGGUGCGUAGGCUGUUUCGUAAGUCGUGUGUGAAAGGCGCGGGCUCAACCCGCGAACGGCACAUGAUACUGCGAGACUAGAGUAAUGGAGGGGAAACCGGAAUUCUAGGUGUAGCAGUGAAAUGCGUAGAUAUCGGGAGGAACACUCGUGGCGAAGGCGGGUUCCUGGACAUUAACUGACGCUGAGGCGCGAAGGCCAGGGGAGCGAAAGGGAUUAGAUACCCUAGUAGUC